GAGUUUGAUCAUGGCUCAGGACAAACGCUGGCGGGGUGCAUGAGACAUGCAAGUCGAACGGGGUUGAGCGGGCUUGCUCGAUCAACCUAGUGGCGGACGGCUGAGUAACGCGUAGGUGACCUGCCCGGAAGUGGGGAAUAACUGCCCGAAAGGGUGGCUAAUACCGCAUGUGGUCGGCGAUUCGGUUCGCCGUGCAAAGCCGCAAGGCGCUUCCGGAGGGGCCUGCGUCCGAUUAGCUAGUUGGUGGGGUAACGGCUCACCAAGGCGACGAUCGGUAGCUGGUCUGAGAGGAUGAUCAGCCAGACUGGGACUGAGAACGGCCCAGACUCCUACGGGAGGCAGCAGUCGGGAAUUUUGCCCAAUGGACGAAAGUCUGAGGCAGCAACUCCGCGUGAGGGACGAAGGCCUUCGGGUCGUAAACCUCUUUACUCAGGGAAGAUACAAGACGGUACCUGAGGAAUAAGACCACGGCUAACUACGUGCCAGCCGCCGCCGU
rnacentral:rRNA from 1 species